CCUAGCUUGGAGCUAGGCCACACGCCUCUUUAUUAGAACUCUUAAGUGAGUCAGUAAAAUUCAAUGGCGACAACUAGUAGUUGAAAAUUAUGAACCUUGAAGUCAUGGUGGCAAUCGGUAAAGAGACUAUCACUA
rnacentral:ncRNA from 1 species